AUGAAUCUUUCAUGAUAUAUUUAACCAUUUUAGCAUGCUUUUUGAAUUUUAUACAUGCAUGCAGACAUGCAUACAUACAAGUACAUAUUUAUAUCUUCUUCAAGGAUUAGUAAAUUAAGUAACUAAAAUUGCAUAAAUAUCAAAUAAUCAUACUUAUGCAAAGGAGGGAUCAAAAGAAGGACAAUAUUAUAUGCAUAGAAAUCUUCACUGUUGACUUAUGUCCAAUAGCUAAUGAAUAGAACCAUCUCCAAGGCCUCCAAAAUCAGAAAUAUUAGGAUUCCCCUUCAGGUGAAGACACACCAUACAUGAAACUACAGCAGCCUUGAAACUAUGUCAACCCAUAGGCUUAGAUUUAUGUUCAUAAAAAACUAUGAUUCAAUUUACAAUUUAUAUUUUUAUAAAACAUGUAAUGCAUUCACCACUAAUCAGAUUUUAUGUCAAUCAGAGUCCUGACAGGAAACAGAUGGAACUUUCAAAUGGAGAACGGAGAAUUUAAGGAAGGAACCAUUUUCAGUGAUGAAUCAGGGUUAAAGGAAACCAGAACAAGAUGGUGAAGCACUUGAGGACUACUGAGAGAGUCAUGGCCACCCCUGCACCUGGGCCCAGCAGCUGUGGCUUCGUGGAGGGACCCAGCCAACCUUCAGCAGCCAGAGACCGAGGAGCUGGCGGGGAAACAUCUGACCUCACUCUUCAUCCUGCAUUUUUGCUAAAUCUGGCAACACAAGGAAUUCAUUCUGUAAGGAAAUUUAGAAAAAGCAAAAGAGAUUACUGGAUGUUUCUAAUGAAAAAUUGUAUUUCCUAGAGCACAUCCUUCACUUUAUCUGAUUCGAGCUUUUUACUAAGCAUUUUAUAACUCAAUUUGUAGAUAGGUGAUAGCAAUGCAAAAUAAUUAUCUACUGUCAUGCAUAUAAAGUCCAUGGUGGAAUUGUGGUGUGGUAGUUUAAUUUGACUUCCUCCAUACCCCUAAAAUCCCCACCUAACUAAAACAUGCCAGUUUUGUGUCCCGUUGUGAAUUUAUUUCAACAUUUCUUUACUCCAUAUAAAAUAGUGAUUCUUAAAAAAAAUGGUGUUCUUUUGACUUUUCCUUUGAACCCAGUUAUAAUGUAUUUCCAGUUUAUUCACUGAAUAAUGAAUUAAGUAAAAUCUUUAACAUGGGUUCAUUUUAUAUCUGCUCUUUUUGAGAGAUGUGAUGUUACUAUUUUUAAAAAUCUAUCCUUUAAUAAAUUUAAAAAAUUUUUAAGUUUAUUUAUUUAUGAGAGAUAGAGACAACAUGAGUAGGGUAAGGGCAGAGAGAGAGGGAGACACAGAAUCCAAAGGAGGCUCCAGACUCUGAACUGUUAGCACAGAGUCUGAUGCUGGGCUUGAACUCACACACCAUGAGAUUGUGACCUGAGCAGAAGUCAAACACUUAACCAACAGAGCCACCCAAGUGCCCCUCCUUUAACAAUUUUAAGGCCAGAAAAUGCUGAAAGGCAAUGUGAAAGUGUAAUAAAAUCACCUUCUGAAGCAUCUUAUAUACUAAGUCAUUUUUGCUAUUCUUAAUUAUCUGGAAUUUUAGUAUCCUAUAAAAAAAGUCCUGACAACCAAAUAAAGUUUUUUGUUACCCUUACUAAUAAUGCUUUGAACAGAGAAGGUCCUUAAAAAAUAUUUGCCAAGUGAAUCAAUUAAAUUGGUAUUUCAUCUGAGAUCACUCAGAUGGAAAGACAGCGUUAACUUUUCUAUUCAUGGGCUGAGGCAAAAUCUACAGAGCUCUUCAUUAUUAAUUUAUGGUUGUUCCAAAUUUUAUCUGUUAAUAUUGUUAAUCUAAAACAUGGGGGGAGGGGUGCCUGUGUGGUUCAGUCGGUUAGGCGUUGACUCUAGAUUUCAGCUCAGGUCAUGAUUUGACAGUUCAGAAGAUCAAGCCCAAAGUCAACUCCUGCUUGGGAUUCUCUCUCUGCUCCACCCCACUCACACUUGCUCACUCGCUCUCUCAAAAUAAAAUAAACAUUAAAACAAGCAAACUGUGGAGAUAUUAGAAAAUUACUAUACACUUUGGCCCCUCACAAAAACUUCCUCCCACCACUACCCCACAAGAGAUCAUCCUUUGCCCUGCAUUUCUUUUUAAUUAGAGUUUACAGGAAAAAAACAAAAACAAAAACCUCUGUUUUUAUUGUCACCAUCAGAAAACCACUGAAGUCCUUGGUAGAGGUGAGGAGAACCUGUAGGCACGUUUAACCUAAGAGCAGAAAUAAUCUGAAUGUUUAAGUGGAAACUGAAUGCUUAGAAAGAAUCCAAAUAAAAUUUCCAAAAAAAAGAUUAAAAAAAGGAGGAAUGAAAAAAACUCUAAUUAGAAAAAAAAAUUAGAUUUUUCAAAAAGCAGAUGGGGGUAUGUCUAAGAAAGUAUUUACCUGACAAUCCUCGAUGGGGGUGGCUGCAGAGCUCCAGCUGAUAUUUGUGUACUCGUUGGUGAAGACAGAAUGAUUAUGCCUUGGCACAGUUUUAAAACAGGAAGAAUGAGGGUUUUAAAUCACGGUUUUAUUGAAGGAAAACCGUAGUCUGCACCAGAGGAUUCAAAAAACCCAGGAAGUGAAGUGUAGCCAACUGCUGCCUGCGGGGAUAAGGGGGGGCGGUGCCAGGUCUGUACCUGGAUCCAGACCAAGUCUGUUUCAAGUUUAUUUGAUUGAGAAUUUCACUUUGAAAAGAGUACUUCAGGGGACCUUUGGGAGCUGUCAAAGGCUGCCCCGGGGCAGAAGAUUAACUGCUCUGUGGACCAGCAGGGAGAAGCCUAGUAAAUCAGAGGCCCCUUGUUUGUGGGUCUGUGGGUUUACAGGUGGCAAUGUAACAGGCUGUGCCUCUCUGCGGGCGCCUGUGGAACUUCCCAGUUUAUGGGUCAGAACUAACUGUGUGGAUGGAAAGGAGCAUUUGAAUCCAUUCUCCAAACUGCAGAUUGAAAAAUGGGCUUGAAUGAGUCUGCAAAAGACAAGUUUCCUUAAAUUAUCUAUCUUCUGGAAGGAUCCCAGGGAAGCGGGCUGCUGUGGUGGCUUCUGGGGAGGGGAAUAGCUCUUUUGUGUUUUAUUGAGGGGGUCAGUCAACUGUGGCAGUUGAAAGCAUGACCCUGGAAGUUUCCAUCUGUCCCUGGUUGUUGUGUGGGUUUUUCGACCUGAAAUGGUGUCAGCUGUAAAAUGGGGAUUAUAAUGAGGAUUAAAUGAGUCAGUUAUAUGGAAAGUGGAACAAUGAACAUAGUGCUAUACAAUUUUGGCUUUUAUAAUUACAUGUAUUUGCAUAUGUUACUGAAAAAAUUAAUUUUAUGUUUUUAUAAAGCAUUAGAAAUAUUUUUAUAAAGCAAACAAUUGUCUCACAAUCCCUUGUCUUCUGGGAUUUCCUUUUUAUAAAUAGCAUUUUCUUAUAGUUAGACACAACUGUAAUGCUCCUUCCUCCCUCUGUCUCACUUCUCCCUUCUUUGCAUUUCUUUUUCAUGAUUCUGCUCUGGCGAUGCAAGGCUGGCUCCCUUUAGGUCUGUGGUGGUGUGGAAGGGUGAGGGGUCAUUUCUAUCGGUCUGCCCCCACAGCCUGGUUCUCCAGAUUUCACCUGACUACCCCCCAGAGAGCUCAUCAAUAGUAAAGGAAAUGAAGUAAUAUUUACUAUCCCCCUCAGGCAAUCCCCUGCACUGUAGGCACCCCCAAAAUACAGGAGGGUGCUGUUGUCUGCCAUUUUAUUAAGCAAUUAGUAAAGGCAAGGGAAUGCAUUCUUAAAUUUAUGCCCAAGGGCAUGGAUGUUAAACUAGAACCACUAACCUCUUCAUUAAAAAUUUUUUUUCAAAUACACAAAGAGGUAGAGAGAAUAGCAUAAUGAACCCCCAUAUAUCUAGCGCUUAGAUUCAACAAUGUUAAGUUUGCUAUAUUUGCUCCUUUUUUCCCUUGUUUUAAACAAAAUUAUAGAGCAUGACUCUUUUCUUUCUCCUUUUUAAAAAACAGCUUUAUUGGAUAUCAAUGAAGCUCUUUUGGGGUACUGACUAGAUGGCUCAGUCAGUUACCUGUCUGCCUCUGUCUCAGCUCGGGUCAUGAUCUCAUGGUUGGUUCAUGGAAUCAAGCCCUGCAUCAGGCUCUGUGCUGAUAGCAUGGGGCCUGCUUGGAAUUCUGUUUCUCCCUCUCUCUCUCUCUCUGUCUCUCUCAAAUAAAUAAACAUAAAAAACAG
rnacentral:lncRNA from 1 species